GACGAACGCUGGCGGCGUGCCUAAUACAUGCAAGUAGAACGCACAGUUUAUACCGUAGCUUGCUACACCAUAGACUGUGAGUUGCGAACGGGUGAGUAACGCGUAGGUAACCUGCCUGGUAGCGGGGGAUAACUAUUGGAAACGAUAGCUAAUACCGCAUAAUAUUGAUUAUUGCAUGAUAAUUAAUUGAAAGGUGCAAUUGCACCACUACCAGAUGGACCUGCGUUGUAUUAGCUAGUAGGUGAGGUAACGGCUCACCUAGGCGACGAUACAUAGCCGACCUGAGAGGGUGAUCGGCCACACUGGGACUGAGACACGGCCCAGACUCCUACGGGAGGCAGCAGUAGGGAAUCUUCGGCAAUGGACGAAAGUCUGACCGAGCAACGCCGCGUGAGUGAAGAAGGUUUUCGGAUCGUAAAGCUCUGUUGUAAGAGAAGAACGGGUGUGAGAGUGGAAAGUUCACACUGUGACGGUAUCUUACCAGAAAGGGACGGCUAACUACGUG
rnacentral:rRNA from 1 species